AGUAGCUCACNACAAUUGUGUGCUUUGGAGUGUNGAUUCAGAUUUCUUUGCUGCAUUGGAAGAGAGAGAGGACGGUUCAUUGUAUUUGGAAGGCACAUGUGUAUUGUCUUGAAGAUUGGAGCACAUGGGACANGAGGCCAACAUAUUUUAUAGUUUAUUGAAGAUUGAAAUUGAAGUUUGACUUUGAUACAUGGGUAACUCACGGCCAUGUUCUCUUUCUUUGGCCAAUUGGACUUUUAAAUUCAUUUGUUAAUUACCAUCAUGUCAAGUAAUUUGUUAGGAUUAAAUUAGGCUUGUU
rnacentral:lncRNA from 1 species